rnacentral:rRNA from 1 species
GGAAUAUUGGUCAAUGGACGAGAGUCUGAACCAGCCAAGUAGCGUGCAGGAUGACGGCCCUAUGGGUUGUAAACUGCUUUUAUGUGGGGAUAAAGUGCGCCACGUGUGGCGUUUUGUAGGUACCGCAUGAAUAAGGACCGGCUAAUUCCGUGCCAGCAGCCGCGGUAAUACGGAAGGUCCGGGCGUUAUCCGGAUUUAUUGGGUUUAAAGGGAGCGCAGGCGGAAGCUUAAGCGUGACGUGAAAUGCAGGUGCUCAACAUCUGCACUGCGUCGCGAACUGGUUUCCUUGAGUGAGUACGACGUCAGCGGAAUUCGUGGUGUAGCGGUGAAAUGCUUAGAUAUCACGAAGAACCCCGAUUGCGAAGGCAGCUGACGAGUCCUUUACUGACGCUAAAGCUCGAAGGUGCGGGUAUCGAACA